AGACAAANACUUAGAAAAGGAUCUAAAGGAAAGAGUUGGGGAAAGAGUUUAGAAGCUGCUGGAUUUGAACUCGUGAGGCUGCUGAUUACUGCUUGGCUGCUCCUAUUUAAUCAAGCUUCAUUUGCCCUCAAACUUGACCUUUAUUUGGUCAUUGCCUUCUAUUUCUUUGCUUUAGAUUUUGGAGCUAGUGGCUGAUCGCGAGGUUGGUUGCUAUCAUUGCACACUGGAGACCCAAGGUAGUCCUGCAGGAGUCCGUAGGCCCUGACGCCCCUUUCUAUUUCAUUUUAUUUCCUUUUUAUCUACUACCAAGACAGAUGUAAACUUUUCAUUCAGACCCUUAUUUGUAGUAAUCUUUGACAGUUCAUGAGUUGUGAUGCCAGUUCUAGGUGGAUGUUACUUUGGUUUUCGUUAUUGUAUAAAGUUAAGCUUUUAGAUUA